CAGAGGUCUAAAAUCUCUAAUUUUGUAUUCUUUUUUUUUGUUGCAACUUUUCCUCGUUCUCUUGUACGUAAAAUCUAUUUAAUCAAUGAAAUUGGAUUCUUCUUUAUAGAGAGCUCCUCUUUUUUACUCUGUAUUCUUUUUCUUCUCUUUUGUUUUCUGGCACUGAUUUGUGUUGUGGUGCUCUUGUCUUCCAACGACAGUGCCCUAUCAAAGCUCUUCCCCUACCACAGGGGAUUCCUCUGAAGUCAAUGAUCUGAGACCUCAGGAGGAAAGUUCAUCACCUGAUGAAGAAAUCAAAGAAGUUGGAUAACAAACUUCACUGGCUG
rnacentral:lncRNA from 1 species